rfam:Schistosoma haematobium scaffold238_5, whole genome shotgun sequence.
ACCCAGCUGACGAGUCCCAAACAGGACUAAAUACGCGUCCUGGAU